UUUGAAUCCUCGCUCAUCCCACUUCCGCAUACAUCCUGUCUUUUCAUUUCACAUCAUUCUCUUCUUCCUUUCGAUCUCUCCCCCUCUCAGAACCAUCUCCAACUCUCAUCUUUCUGUAAACAUGAACCCUAAAAGCAUCAAAACAGAAACAAAUAAAAACCAAGACACGGAUAAAAAAGCACGGAUGGAAGAUGCGGUUAGGGUUUCACAUACGUCACUUCUUAUCCGCCUCCGCCUCUCUCUCUCUCUAUCUUUCCCCCCUCCCCUCUAUCUAGUGGUGAUUCAAAAACAGCAAGCGAUUGAUGAAGAUUUCACCAGAUCCGUUCUGAUUCUGCUAUCAUCGGCGGCUAUAGAUGGUGGUUGUCUGGUUAGGUUAGCCAUUCCGACUACUCGACAAUCCUAAGAACGAUGGAGAAGAGGUGCAGCUGAGACAAUAGUGUUAUAGUUUAUGGGAAUACGAACAAUAGUGUUAUAUAACAAGGAUUCAGGGUCAAGUACCAGAUGUGAGCAGCUUUGGAGUCUGUCACGAACCCAGGCGCGCGGCGCCGAUGCCAGAGAGUAGUCCUGAUGUUGAUGAGUUCUUACUUGGUUCGUACUUUUCUAGGGUUUCAAAAUUUUCAACUCAUCUCCAUCUCUGAAUUUAGUGAGGGUGCCUUUUAAAAAACUACGAUAUUUU